rnacentral:rRNA from 1 species
GAUGAACGCUGGCGGCGUGCCUAAUACAUGCAAGUCGAGCGAACGGACGAGAAGCUUGCUUCUCUGAUGUUAGCGGCGGACGGGUGAGUAACACGUGGAUAACCUACCUAUAAGACUGGGAUAACUUCGGGAAACCGGAGCUAAUACCGGAUGAUAUUUUGAACCGCAUGGUUCAAAAGUGAAAGACGGUCUUGCUGUCACUUAUAGAUGGAUCCGCGCUGCAUUAGCUAGUUGGUAAGGUAACGGCUUACCAAGGCAACGAUGCAUAGCCGACCUGAGAGGGUGAUAGGCCACACUGGAACUGAGACACGGUCCAGACGACUACGGGAGGCAGCAGUAGGGAAUCGUCCGCAAUGGGCGAAAGCAUGACGGAGCAACGCCGCGUGAGUGAUGAAGGUCUUCGGAUCGUAAAACUCUGUUAUUAGGGAAGAACAUAUGUGUAAGUAACUGUGCACAGCUUGACGGUACCUAAUCAGAAAGCCACGGCUAACUACGUG